ensembl:lncRNA
UGAGAGCUGAGUUAGGUUUUAUUUGGGGCAAAAUGAGGACUAUAGCCUGGGAGACAGCAUUCCAGAUAGCUCUGAGAAAUUGCUCCAAAGAGGUAGGAGGAAGGUCAGUAUACCUGUGAUUUUGGUGAAGGGGGAGUUCAUGCAGUCAAGCGCAUAUUUUUUGCAGAAGAUUUCGACUAGUCACCAGGAACAGAGGUCAUCAUGGAGGAUUUUAGUGCUUUUUUUCUAGAUAUGAGGAAAUGCAAGAAUUGGGUGCAUAAGUCUUCUCCUGAGAGUAUCUAACUAUCUGAAACACUUGCUCUGUCAGAUUUUCUCAGAGGACUGAGUGCUUCAUUCCUGAUCUGCACCCUGAACUGCUUUCAAGAGCGGUUGAGCAUCAGCAGCCACAGUUGUUUAUAAUUUAAUCCUUACAGAGGUAGAUGACAAGCGCCAGUAGUGAAUGCCAGUUUGUAGGUGAUGUCAAAUAUCAUCCACGUUGAAUGUACUUUAUGUGUUUUUUAAAUUGGCUUAUAGUCUUUGUGGAAGGAUCAGGCACUCUGCCUGGAUAAUCUCAUUUUUUCUCUCUCCUUUUCUUUAUUUCUUCCUUAUAAUACACCAGGGAAAGGAACUCCAUUUUGUUCUACCUCAGGGAAUAAAACCUCAUCUUUUGUGGUUUUGUUGGCAAUCCUAUUAAAAAAUUUUUUUCCCACUGUUUGACAAGUUAGUUAGUAUUUGGAGCAAUAUUCCCAAUAGAAAUGUUAUUUGUUAUUUCUUGGGGGUUCACACUUUUAAAAAAUUGUGAUUAUUGUCUCUUAUUUCAGAAUUUCAUUGUGGGAGAAUCCAUACCUACCCAGUGGCCUCCGAAGUGUCUCUUGGAAGGUGUUUCUAAUUGUUUGGACCUUAUCUGAGCAUCAUCUGAAUUAUGCAAGUGUCCCAUAUUAUGCAUUCAGUUUGGCUUUUCAUUGAGAAAUAGUUUGCAUAAAGUUAUUGGCAUUUCCUGCCCCUGUUAGGCCAAAACUAUCUUAAAAACAGCUUUUCUGCCUGGACUCAGGUACUUUUGCUUCACGCCCAGACCAGAAUCAGGAAAUGAAGAGGCAUGUGUGAAAAGGAAAAUUACUGGGGUGGAGGUUUGGGGUGGGGAAAGGGGAAUUUCUCAAUAUUUUUAUGGCUCAAAAUGCUCAACAUGGAUAUGUCAUUAGGAAAAAGGAAAAAAAAAAAAAAAAGACUUAUUCUUAGUGGAAAUUGCCACUGGUCAGAUUCUCCACUGUAACUUCUGAGCUGGAUAGAUCUGAGAGGCUGCAGGAUUAGUCUAGCUAGUUAAAACAUUCAGUUUCUUUGCAAGUGUUUUGAGGGCUUAUACAACUUGGCAAAGGUCUUUAAGAAAAAGAAUACAUAUUAGAAAUACAAAAUUCAGCAUGAAAAUGAAUAUCUGUCUAUAAUGAGAAAAGAAAUACUAAGGACUACCAAAUUUUAAAAGGGUGGCAAAUUGUCAUAUAUAUUACAAAGUCUAUAAAACAACACAAUAUUUAUAUUAGCCUGACACACUUCUAUAAUAUCCUUUUUUUCAUGUUUUUUUGGCUGCAUGCUCAUCAAUCACUUCUUCAUGUUCAAGGCCAUCAAACAUGAGGUGAAAUCUGAUGGAGGGGAAAUUGGAGUGGCAAGAAAUAGUGAUUUUUAUAAUUUCGACUAAAAUGUCUCACUCUUACAGAUUUUAUAGAAACGUAUAGCAUUGUGAAUACAUUAGGAGGCCUUUUUCCCUUCCAGCAUCUUAGAAGGAGCCCACAUAAGAGAUGAGCCCUGAUGUUUAACUUUCAUUAGCUUUAUGGUGAAUCACCUAUGAUCUGAUGUGAAUGUGGGCAAAUGCCUUAACUCUCUGACCUCAGUUUCUGUAUCUGUCUAUUUCACUGAAUUCUUGUGAGGACCAAAUAAGAUAAGUGUAUAUGAUAGCCUGAAAAAAAU